rnacentral:rRNA from 1 species
AUUGAACGCUGGCGGCAUGCCUAACACAUGCAAGUCGAACGGAGGUAGGGGCAACUCUACUUCAGUGGCGGACGGGUGAGGAAUGCGUCGGAAUCUACCCUAUGGUGGGGGAUAACACAGGGAAACUUGUGCUAAUACCGCAUGAUGUCGAGAGACCAAAGCAGGGGACCGCAAGGCCUUGCGCGAUAGGAUGAGCCGACGCCCGAUUAGCUAGUUGGUAGGGUAAUGGCCUACCAAGGCGACGAUCGGUAGCUGGUCUGAGAGGAUGAUCGGCCACACUAGGACUGAGACACGGUCCGGACUCCAACGGGAGGAAGCAGUGGGGAAUAUUGGACAAUGGGGGCAAGCCUGAUCCAGCAAUGCCGCGUGUGUGAAGAAGGCCUUCGGGUUGUAAAGCACUUUAGCCUGGAAAGAAAAAACUUUGGUUAACACCCAAAGUCUUGACGGUACCAGGAGAAUAAGCACCGGCUAACUCUGUGCCAGCCGCCGCGGUAACAC